GACAGAGGUGCCGAGCGUUAGGCGGAAUCACUGGGCUUAAAGCGUGUGUAGGCGGCCCGUUAAGUGUCUUGUGAAAUCCCCCGGCUCAACCGGGGAACUGCUGGGCAUACUGGCGGGCUUGGGUCGCUCAGGGGCAGACGGAACAGGCGGUGGAGCGGUGAAAUGCGUAGAUAUCGGCUGGAACGCCGAAGGUGAAAACAGUCUGCUGGGGGCGCACCGACGCUGAGACACGAAAGCCAGGGGAGCGAACGGG
rnacentral:rRNA from 1 species